rnacentral:rRNA from 1 species
GAUGAACGCUGGCGGCGUGCCUAAUACAUGCAAGUCGAGCGAAUGGAUUAAGAGCUUGCUCUUAUGAAGUUAGCGGCGGACGGGUGAGUAACACGUGGGUAACCUGCCCAUAAGACUGGGAUAACUCCGGGAAACCGGGGCUAAUACCGGAUAACAUUUUGAACCGCAUGGUUCGAAAUUGAAAGGCGGCUUCGGCUGUCACUUAUGGAUGGACCCGCGUCGCAUUAGCUAGUUGGUGAGGUAACGGCUCACCAAGGCAACGAUGCGUAGCCGACCUGAGAGGGUGAUCGGGCACACUGGGACUGAGACACGGCCCAGACUCCUACGAGAGGCAGGAGUAGGGAAUCUUCCGCAUUGGACGAAAGUCUGACGGAGCAACGCCGCGUGAGUGAUGAAGGCUUUCGGGUCGUAAAACUCUGUUGUUAGGGAAGAACAAGUGCUAGUUGAAUAAGCUGGCACCUUGACGGUACCUAACCAGAAAGCCACGGCUAACUACGUGCCAGCCGCCGCAGUAA